GGGGCAACACCCGUACCCAUACCGAACACGGCAGUUAAGCCCACCAGCGCCGAUGGUACUUGGACCGCAGGGUCCUGGGAGAGUAGGUCGCUGCCGGACA
rnacentral:rRNA from 1 species